UGUUUCAAAUCAAUUCACAUAUUUUGCCUGGAAUGAAUAUUAAAAAUAGAAUAUUAAAUUAUAAAAAUAGUAAAUUGAAUAAUAGAAAAAAAAAGUUCAAGUAUUAAUUAUUAUUCAAUGUUUAUAGAUACAACACAAAAAUGACCAAAAAGUUUGUGGAAAAAUGACAUUACAAGUGACAAAAGUCUUGGCAGUCUUAAUUAAGCGAGGUAUUCUUGGAUAUUGGAAAGUUAAACAAGUCUUGGCUGGCAUUAGUGAAUUUACAAUUAAAAAUUGUCUUAGAAUGUUGAUGUACUAAAUAUAACGAAUGAAAUGAAGUGGUGGUGUGCUGAACGACAGAGAUGAAAGUGUAAUGGAGCAAAUGGAUGGAUAAGCUAGCUACAUAUUUUAUCACGAUCAUCAGAAAAGUCAAGUUAUGAAAAUGACAGUGAUGAUGCUCAUCGUGAUAAAAGUGGAUGCUAAUCAUAACAAGAUAAUUGACGGAUUUUACCUGUGUGCUCAUUGUAAUCAUAUUCACAACAUAUUUCCUAAUCAUUGAUAAGACGUUGAGUUGGAGUUAGAGCAUCUGUGCCUCAUAGAUCUUCUAAAUAAGGUAAGAGGCCCUCUGGUCACUUUUUUAACCAAUCCCUCAGGGUAAAUGUGCGUCAACAAGCUUGUAACUUUAAAGAAUCUAUUGUAAUAUUCUUUAAAGCUACUUGAUAAUCCCCGAUAUAUUUUUCAUAUAUAUAUAUUUGUGACUUGUUAGCUCACCUUGAUUACAUUUUCAUUCAAUUAUAAUUUGUUCAUGCCGAGAGUAAAUGGUCGUAGUUAAUUGAUCAAGGUGUGCACAUCAACCUGUCUAUCUCAAACAGAGUAGACGGGGGUGAAUAGGAUGUAUUUCAAUUUUCAGGUAUUCGUGAAUUCAAGACAUUAGUUGAUUUUUUUCUAUGUGAAAUUGUUAUACCCAUUUUAUUCCAUUUCAGGUUUAUUAUAAUAUUUAUUAGUUUUAAUAAACUUCUUGUUGAACGCACGUUACCACAAUAAUAAUUGACAAACUUUUACAUUAUUUAAAAAUUUCAAUAUUCAAAAUUAUUUUUUUUUGUUCUA